GUGAGGAAUAUUGGACAAUGGGCGAGAGCCUGAUCCAGCCAUGCCGCGUGCAGGAAGACGGCCCUAUGGGUUGUAAACUGCUUUUGUACGGGAAGAAACACCCCCUCGUGAGGGGGCUUGACGGUACCGUAAGAAUAAGGAUCGGCUAACUCCGUGCCAGCAGCCGCGGUAAUACGGAGGAUCCGAGCGUUAUCCGGAAUCAUUGGGUUUAAAGGGUCCGUAGGUGGACGGUUAAGUCAGAGGUGAAAUCCUGCAGCUCAACUGUAGAAUUGCCUUUGAUACUGGUCGUCUUGAGUCAUUGUGAAGUGGUUGGAAUAUGUAGUGUAGCGGUGAAAUGCAUAGAUAUUACAUAGAACACCGAUUGCGAAGGCAGAUCACUAACAAUGUACUGACACUGAUGGACGAAAGCGUGGGGAGCGAACAGGAUUAGAUACCCGAGUAGUCC
rnacentral:rRNA from 1 species